UCAGGUGGCCGCAGAGAAUAGGCCCAAGCGACUGUUUACCAAAAACAUAGGUUUCUGCUAAGUCGCAAGACGAUGUAUAGGAGCUGACGCCUGCCCGGUGCUGGAAGGUUAAGGGGAUCUGUUAGAGCAAUCGAAGCAGUGAACUUAAGCCCCAGUAAACGGCGGCCGUAACUAUAACGGUCCUAAGGUAGCGAAAUUCCUGGUCGGGUAAGUUCCGACCCGCACGAAAGGCGUAACGAUUUGGGCACUGUCUCAACAACAGACUCGGUGAAAUUGUAAUUCCGGUGAAGAUGCCGGAUACCUGCGACAGG
rnacentral:rRNA from 1 species